rnacentral:rRNA from 1 species
UGGGGAAUAUUGGACAAUGGGGGGAACCCUGAUCCAGCCAUGCCGCGUGUGUGAAGAAGGCCUUAUGGUUGUAAAGCACUUUAAGCGAGGAGGAGGGUACUGGUAUUAAUACUACCAGCUACUGGACGUUACUCGCAGAAUAAGCACCGGCUAACUCUGUGCCAGCAGCCGCGGUAAUACAGAGGGUGCGAGCGUUAAUCGGAUUUACUGGGCGUAAAGCGUGCGUAGGCGGCUAAUUGAGUCGGAUGUGAAAUCCCCGAGCUUAACUUGGGAACUGCAUUCGAUACUGGUUAGCUAGAGUGUGGGAGAGGAUGGUAGAAUUCCAGGUGUAGCGGUGAAAUGCGUAGAGAUCUGGAGGAAUACCGAUGGCGAAGGCAGCCAUCUGGCCUAACACUGACGCUGAGGUACGAAAGCAUGGGGAGCAAACAGG